GCCAGGCUUGGUGAUGGUAGUCCUGUAGUCCUAGCAUUGGGAGGCUGAGGUAGGGGGAUUCUUUGAUUCCAGGAGUUUGAGAAUAGCCUGGACAACAUAGAGAGACCAUGUCUCAG
rnacentral:sRNA from 1 species